AACGAACGCUGGCGGCAUGCCUAACACAUGCAAGUCGAACGAGACCUUCGGGUCUAGUGGCGCACGGGUGCGUAACGCGUGGGAACCUGCCCUUAGGUUCGGAAUAACUCCCCGAAAGGGGUGCUAAUACCGGAUAAUGUCUUCGGACCAAAGAUUUAUCGCCUUUGGAUGGGCCCGCGUUGGAUUAGCUAGUUGGUAGGGUAAAAGCCUACCAAGGCGACGAUCCAUAGCUGGUCUGAGAGGAUGAUCAGCCACACUGGGACUGAGACACGGCCCAGACUCCUACGGGAGGCAGCAGUGGGGAAUAUUGGACAAUGGGCGAAAGCCUGAUCCAGCAAUGCCGCGUGAGUGAAGAAGGCCUUAGGAUUGUAAAGCUCUUUUGCCGGGGAUGAUGAUGACGGUACCGGGAGAAGAAGCUCCGGCUAACUCCGUG
rnacentral:rRNA from 1 species